rnacentral:rRNA from 1 species
CCUACGGGGGGCUGCAGUGGGGAAUAUUGGGCAAUGGGCGCAAGCCUGACCCAGCAACGCCGCGUGAAGGAAGAAGGCUUUCGGGUUGUAAACUUCUUUACUCAGGGACGAAGCAAGUGACGGUACCUGAGGAAUAAGCCACGGCGAACUACGGGCCAGCAGCCGCGGUAAUACGGAGGUGGCAAGCGGUAUCCGGAUUUACUGGGUGUAAAGGGCGUGUAGGCGGGGACGCAAGUCAGAUGUGAAAACCACGGGCUCAACCUGUGGCCUGCAUUUGAAACUGUGUUUCGUGAGUACUGGAGAGGCAGACGGAAUUCCUAGUGUAGCGGUGAAAUGCGUAGAUAUUAGGAGGAACACCAGUGGCGAAGGCGGUCUGCUGGACAGCAACUGACGCUGAGGCGCGAAAGCGUGGGGAGCAAACAGGAUUAGAUACCCUUGUAGUC